rnacentral:rRNA from 1 species
CUAAUACAUGCAAGUCGAGCGCGGGAAGCAGAAAGAUUCCUUCGGGAUGACAUCUGUGGAACGAGCGGCGGAUGGGUGAGUAACACGUGGGCAACCUGCCUGUAAGACUGGGAUAACUCCGGGAAACCGGGGCUAAUACCGGAUAAGACUUUAUCUCGCAUGAGAUAGAGAUGAAAGAUGGCUUUUAGCUAUCACUUACAGAUGGGCCUGCGGCGCAUUAGCUAGUUGGUGGGGUAAUGGCCUACCAAAGCGACGAUGCGUAGCCGACCUGAGAGGGUGAUCGGCCACACUGGGACUGAGACACGGCCCAGACUCCUACGGGAGGCAGCAGUAGGGAAUCUUCCGCAAUGGACGCAAGUCUGACGGAGCAACGCCGCGUGAGUGAUGAAUGUCUUCGGAUUGUAAAACUCUGUUGUUAGGGAAGAACAAGUACCGUUCGAAUAGGUCGGUACCUUGACGGUACCUAACCAGAAAGCCCCGGCUAACUACGUGCCAGCAGCCGCGGUAAUACGUAGGGGGCGAGCGUUGUCCGGAAUUAUUGGGCGUAAAGGGCGCGUAGGCGGUCUCUUAAGUCUGAUGUGAAAGCCCCCGGCUUAACCGGGGAGGGUCAUUGGAAACUGGGAGACUUGAGUGCAGGAGAGGGAAGCGGAAUUCCAUGUGUAGCGGUGAAAUGCGUAGAGAUAUGGAGGAACACCCAGUGGCGAAGGCGG